AAACUCUCAAGCCCCGCUUGGUAUUGGGUGCCGGUCCGGCAGGACCCACCCGCAACCCGUUGGGCGGGACCGUCCGGCUCUAAGCGUAGCAAGAAUCUUCCCUCGCUUCGGAGCUCCGGCGGCCUCUGCCCGGGAAAAACCCAUCUCAAA
rnacentral:misc_RNA from 1 species